rnacentral:rRNA from 1 species
UACAGAGGUCCCGAGCGUUGUUCGGAUUCACUGGGCGUAAAGGGUGCGUAGGUGGCAGGGUAAGUCGGAUGUGAAAGCUCGGAGCUCAACUCCGAAAUGGCAUUGGAAACUACCCAGCUCGAGGGUUGGAGGGGGACUGGAAGUGCUUGGUGUAGCAGUGAAAUGCGUAGAUAUCAAGCGGAACACCAGUGGCGAAGGCGAGUCCCUGGACAACUCCUGACACUGAGGCACGAAAGCUAGGGGAGCAAACAGG